UAUAUGAUUCGCAUCCAUUGAAAAUUAUAAAUCCUUUUUAUGAGUAUAUAUUUUUUAAAAAAACCACUUUAUUGUUUGUUAUUGUUAGUUUACUAUAGCAGUCUAUGUAGUACAAAGACUUGGUGGCUUAAACAACAGGAGUUUAUUUUCUGGAAGUUUUGGGGGGUUAGAAGUUCAACAUCAAGGUGUCAGCAGGAUUUUUGUUUGUUUGUUUUGUUUUUGUGGGGCCUCUCUCCUUGGGUUGUAGAUGUAUGUCUUCUCCCUGUGAUUUCAACAUGGUUUUUCCUUUGGGUUUACCUCUGUCCUAAUCUCUUCUUCUUAGAAAGACCUGAGACAUAUUAUAUUUGGGCCCAUCCUGAUCACCUCAUUUUAAUUUAAUUGUGUCUUUAAAGAGAAAGACCCUCUCUCACACACAGUCACAUUCAACCAUAAUGGUUGUUAGAAUUUCAACGUAUGUGUUUUGGAAAGACAUUUAUUCAGACCAUAAUCUUGAUUAAGAGUAAUCUUCACUCACAUAAGUCAAUAUAACUUCUUUGAUUUCAUUUCUAAAUAAUCUUUUCUUGUAAAUAUUCACAUAAGUGAAAUUGAUGUUAUUUUAAGGGCUGAACAAUAAAAUUUACUGAAUAGAGAAAGAUUUUGUUAUACUUAAAUUGAGAAUUCUUUCUUUAAAAAUGAAUAGUCCAUUUCUUUCAAAUGUACUGCUGUCAUUAUAAAAGUAAUUCAACAGAGGUGAUUUUCCUUUGCAGUAGCAGUAACCACAUGGACAUAAACAACCACAUAAACUACCAAAGUAUAUGAAUAAAUCUAAGAAAGAAUGUAGAAGAUAUACACAAAUUAUGGAGCUUUAUGGAAGGAGAUUUUAAAAAACUGAAGAAAUGA
rnacentral:lncRNA from 1 species